UACGUAGGGGGCAAGCGUUGUCCGGAAUCAUUGGGCGUAAAGCGCGUGUAGGCGGUUCGGUAAGUCUGCUGUGAAAGUCCAGGGCUCAACCCUGGGAUGCCGGUGGAUACUGUCGGACUAGAGUACGGAAGAGGCGAGUGGAAUUCCCGGUGUAGCGGUGAAAUGCGCAGAUAUCAGGAGGAACACCAAUGGCGAAGGCAGCUCGCUGGGACGGUACUGACGCUGAGACGCGAAAGCGUGGGGAGCAAACAGG
rnacentral:rRNA from 1 species